UUUUUUUUUCAAAUUUUCAAUCAUUAUUCAAGUGUCUGACUACAUUAUAGACAGGAUCCCUACAGAGAUAGACCUUUUUGUUAACGAGUAAUAUCCUUUUGUUUAACCAGACACAGGUCAAAUUGCCAUUGCCAAAGU